AAAGCCUAAGCCAAAGUAAAUUCUUCCUUCUCUGUGUCAUGUUUUGUCAGGUUGAGGUGAACGGCCACGAGAAAAUCGCGGGAGAAAGAAGAACGUCAUGUGGGCCGUACUUCCCCAUGUCUGGUGUGUCUUUGGGGUGACCUCACAAGGAGUCGUCAUAGGAACCUGUUCAUACGAGGCACUGGCUCCAGCUGGCUUUGUGCUUAUACCUGAGAGAAGCUGUUGGUUGCUUGGAAAGAAGUUGGACUUGGAUAGACGUUGAUAAACGUGGGCUUCCCUGAUCAGUUGGACCUUGACAUAGAGUGAAGAACACGCCCAGUUCUAUGGUUAUUGAAUGUCGGGUCUGUUUCCAACCUGGUGUGGACGGAGAGCCACAGGAAGGAUCCAAGUCAGAACUGCAGGAGCGUGUCUGCAUCCACACUCAUUACACGCCACUUCCUUGGUCCAGGCCCUGGUACCCAGGUGGUAUUGUCAUCUCCUUCCCUGACUGGUUUCCAUUAGUCUGAGUUUUAUUCUACCAACCCAGGAGAUUGACUGGAUCACUGAGUUGGUGCUGUCCCACUUUGGAGAAGAUGGCCCUGUCAGGCCUUGGACACAGAAGCCCUUACAAAGCCAGUGGUCAUUUUUCUACCCUGUGCCCAACACCACCUUUGGGAUCAGACCUACAAGGAAAUGGAUUGCCAUGGGACUGGAACUCUUGACCAGUGGUGCAGUAUCGACUGGACACCCUCAAGUUGCCAGGCCACCUCUGGUACUAAAUGGUAGGUGGAACUCUUAUUGCUGAAGAUGGCACUGAGUCUACUAAGUGCCAGCCGGUGGCAGAAGAUGAGUUUCUGAAGCCUGGUUUUGAUGAACGCUGGCCUAAGUAAGGAUAAGGAGGCAGCAGAGGCCAGGCUCCCACAAUCCCCAGGGGACAGUGUAAUGGCCUGACUUGCUGAAGAGCUAAAAAUGACUGAGUGGGUCAGCCACUGAAUUGCACCGUGCUGUAAAACCACAACUGUCAGGUGAUUCCCGUGGGGGAAAUAGAGGUAGAGACACUGAGCUCAAGGGACCAGAGUGGGUUUGAUUGAGUGCGUGACUGCAGAGGCCAGCCUGUGGCCCUGUUCACUUUAUGGGACCAGGGCACGGGGAAAGAGAAGAGGGCAGCUAUUGCCCUAAGUGAAGCAGGCCAGAUGGGUGAGUGCUUCAGCAUGGUGGUUUCUGAGGAAGGUUUUUAGUCUCUGGUGUGUACAGAGCUGCUUUCCAUCAGGGUCCAGUAGCCUUGUUGUACACAAUCAUGUCUGCACUGCCCAGGAGGCUGGGCUGGUGGUGUGGAACUCUUACCUGAGAGAGAGAGGAAAGCAACAUACCCAACCCCCAGCACACUCUCUUAUCCACGAGUUCCUACCCUCACAGUGGGGGUGGAGAGUGCCAUCAGAGCUCCUAUAUAUCAGGCUGUCUGCAUAG